GGUUGGAUUUGUUCAUCUUUUUGUAUACAGUACAUAUCUAUGCAAUUUUCCAUAUUGUUUGGUAAAUGCCAGUGUUAUAACCAUAAUGGAAUAGCUUGGCUAGGUGAGAGGCAAAUUCUGGAGAACAAGUCUUUAGUACUAUUGCCGGAAUGUUGUCAGAGCCCAUUACUAUCACGGUAUCCAGUGCCUCAAUCAUUUCUUGAUAUCAUGUGGAAUAAAUCAAAUUGGCUGAAGACUGGCAUCUGGACCAGAUUAUGACACUAGAAAUAUCACUUUUUUUCACUUUACUGAUUGGCCAAACCCUUUAAGGCAAAAUUGUAUGAAUAGAAAUCAAUUGAUAUUUAAAAUUUAGAACAUGAGUCUUCACUGAUAACAGCCUGGCACUGCUGCUUAUGUUUUCCUCCCAGGUUCCGAUGAUUCUGGUUGGCAAUAAAUGUGACUUGGAAGAUGAGCGAGUAGUGGGCAAAGAACAGGGCCAGAACCUAGCAAGACAAUGGAACAACUGUGCCUUUUUAGAGUCUUCUGCAAAGUCAAAGAUCAACGUUAAUGAGAUCUUUUAUGAUU